CAAAUACAAUAAUGGGGAAAUUUCUCAGAAAUCUACGAAGUCUCUUAGUUAUAUGACGUCAUGGCUAGGAGGGAGCAAAAGGAAAAGCCCCUGGCGAGAUGUUUAACAGAUGACAUUUAGCUCUUUUUUUUUUCCUCGAGACAUGGUCUUGAGUCAACGUCUGAACCAUCUGAGCUUCAGAUUCCCCUGGGAUAAGCAACACAGGACACACACGUGUUAAGUGGAUCACUGGCCAGCGUGAGGUUCCAGAAUGGGAACCGGGAAUGUUUAUGAUAUACAACAGGGGUGAUGCUGUCCCCUUUAAAACUUCCUACAGGUUCCCUUUUCUCAGAAGACUCUAGCCUGUGUCAAAUUGACAUAAAACAAGCCAGUACACUGCACAGGACUGACACUCUGAGUUUUGAACACCAGAACCCAGAACUGACCUACAGCCAAUGCUGUCACAGAUCAUCUCGGCUACAUCUGGGAAGAGUGAGGAGGUGUGGGAGUGUCUUGCUCCUUACCAGGUGUGGUGUAGUAUAGGAUUAAAGGCACAGGCUCUGGAGUCAGGUUC